AACCCAUGAUGAGGGCACCUUCUCAAUAAGUCCUUGUAUUUCUCCUAUGCAUUAUAAAGAGUUUAUAAAUCCAUCCACACAAAAAAAGAGAUAUCAUUCCUUAGUUU
rfam:Gossypium hirsutum cultivar TM-1 chromosome 15, whole genome shotgun sequence